UGGGGCAAAGGCACCAUGGUGACCGUCUCCUCAGUCUCUAGCAAAGCCCCUUCAGUCUUCCCCCUGGUGCCCUGCUGUGAUGGCACCGACUCCUCAGGAGUCACCCUGGGCUGCCUCGUCGCUGACUAUAUUCCCGAACCGGUGGUCGUGCGCUGGAACUCUGGAGACUUGGUCAAGGGCGUCACAACUUUACCGUCAGUCUGGGACAGCCGAAGCGGACUCUACACGACGAGCAGCCACGUCACCGUGAGCCAAGACAGCUGGCAAUCCCAGACCUUCACCUGCAAUGUAGAGCAGACGGCCACCAAAACGAAGAUCAACACAGAGGUCUAUUCAGACUGCUCCAGGGAACCGAUCCCACCGACCGUGAAGUUGUUCCAUUCGUCCUGCGACCCCCGCGGGGACUCUCAGGCGACCAUCGAGUUGCUGUGCGUCAUCACUGGCUACUCGCCAGCGGGCAUCCUGGUAGACUGGCUGGUGGAUGGGCAGAAGGCCGAAAACCUCUUCCCCUACACGGCUCCCCCCAAGAGAGAGGGCAACAGGAGUUUCUCCUCCCAUAGCGAGGUCAACAUCACCCAGGAGCAGUGGCUGACCGGCCAGACCUUCACCUGCCAGGUCACCCACCUGACCGACCACAAAACCUACCAAGACAGUGCCAGGAAGUGUGCAGAUUCAGACCCCCGUGGCAUCAACGUCUUUCUGACCCCACCAAGCCCCAGGGACCUCUACGUCUCCAAGUCCCCCAAACUGUCCUGUCUGGUCGUCGACCUGGUCAACACCAAUGGCUUGGAGGUCACCUGGUCCCGGGAGAGUGGUACUCCGCUGAGCAGCGAAUCCUUUGAGGAGCAAAAGCACUUCAACGGCACCAUGAGCUUCAUCAGCACGGUCCCUGUGACAGUUCAGGACUGGGUUGAGGGCGAACUGUACACCUGCAGUGUGACACACCCAGACCUACCUGCCCCCAUCGUCAGGACCGUGACAAAAAGCCCAGGCAAACGUUUGGCUCCCGAAGUGUAUGCCCUCUCCCCGCCCCAAGAGGAAGUGGACCUUGGGGGCUCCGUCAGCCUUACUUGCCUGGUCAAGGGCUUCUACCCCCAUGAUGUCAGCGUUCAGUGGCUCCUCAACAAUGAGGAGCUCCCCACCGAGCGGUACCAGACCUCAAAGCCCCUCAAGGACCAAGGCCCGGAUCCCGCCUACUUCCUCUACAGCCGGCUGGCCAUCAACCGGUCCGACUGGGAAGUUAGCUCUUCCUACACCUGCCAAGUCGUCCAUGAGGCCUUGCCUUCCCGCAAGACUGAACGCAAAUUCCAGCACCCAUCCGGUAACUGACCGUGCCUUCUGCUCCCACCCACCCCACCCAUUUGUUCUCCCUGCUCUGCUGUGUCUCCUGGCCCCGAUCCCUCCCUCUGUCUCCCCAGGAAUGGGGGGGCGGAGGUGACCUGUGUGUACAGACCCCCACUCCGCCCCCUCCCCCAACCUGGAAGCAGCCCAGAGCCUUCAAUAAACACCUCAGUGCCAAGCUCAA